GACGAACGCUGGCGGCGUGCUUAACACAUGCAAGUCGAACGGAAAGGCCUGCUUUUCCUUGUGGUUUGCGGGUACUCGAGUGGCUAACGGGUGAGUAACACGUGAGUGAUCUGCCCCCAACUUGGGUAUAAGCCUGGGAGACUGGGUCUAAUUACCGAUAGGACUGCAGGGUGGUGCCUGUGGUGGAGGACGAUUUUCUAGUGGUUGGGGAUGAGCUCGCGGCCUAUCAGCUUGUUGGUGGGGUAAUGGACUACCAAGGCGGGGACGGGUAGCCGGACGGGGAGGGUCGACAGCCACAUUGGGACUGAGAUACGACCCAGACUCCUACGGGAGGCAGCAGUGGGGAAGAAUGCACAAUGGGCGUAAGCCUGAUGCAGCGACGCCGCGUGGGAGAUGUCGGCCUUCUGGUUGUAAGCUCCUUGCGACCACCAGGUAUCCACCUGGUUGGACGGGUGGUGACGGUAGUGGUAGAAGAAGCACCGGCUAACUACGUG
rnacentral:rRNA from 1 species